GGACGUGAAGUCGACGAUGGUCGGUGGGCUGGUUUUGGUAAGCAGAACGGGCGAUUCGGGAUGAACCGGAAGCGGGGAGAAAGGGCCCGAGAUUGCGUCGACGCGGAUCCCGAAAAGGGCGUCGAUCCGUCGCGACAGCGGGACGGUGGUCAUGGAAAGUCGAAAUCCGCUAAGAAGCGUGUAAAAACGUACCCGCCCAACGGAUCGGCCCCGAAAAUUGAUGGCGCUCGAACGCAACCCUCGAACCCCGCCGACGGAGGCUAGGGGAGGCCCCGUCGAGUAGGCGGACGCGCGGGUCGCUUCGACGCUCCCGCGCGAGCGGGGCGGAGCGGCCCGUGGUGCAGAUCUUGGUGGUAGUAGCGAUCACCCAGGCGAGAACCCUGAGGGCCGAAGUGGAGAAGGGUUUCUCGAGAACGGCACUCGCUCGAGAGUUAGUCGAUCCUAAGCUGCCGGCGGCAGCCACGAAACGGUCGAUCGGGCGCGAGCCCGGCAGCCACGACCGGGCAGCGAAAGGGAAUUGGGAACCUCCUUCCCAAACCCGGAACCGGAACGAG
rnacentral:rRNA from 1 species